rnacentral:rRNA from 1 species
CCGGUUGAUCCUGCCGGACCUGACUGCUAUCGGAUUGAUACUAAGCCAUGCGAGUCAUUGUAGCAAUACAAGGCAGACGGCUCAGUAACGCGUAGUCAACCUAACCUAUGGACGGGAAUAACCUCGGGAAACUGAGAAUAAUGCCCGAUAGAACACUAUAUCUGGAAUGGUUUGUGUUCCAAAUGAUUUAUCGCCGUAGGAUGGGACUGCGGCCUAUCAGUUUGUUGGUGAGGUAAUGGCCCACCAAGACUAUUACAGGUACGGGCUCUGAGAGGAGUAGCCCGGAGAUGGGUACUGAGACACGGACCCAGGCCCUAUGGGGCGCAGCAGGCGAGAAAACUUUGCAAUGUGCGAAAGCACGACAAGGUUAAUCCGAGUGGUUUGUGCUAAACGAACCUUUUGUCGGUCCUAGAAACACCGAUGAAUAAGGGGUGGGCAAGUUCUGGUGUCAGCCGCCGCGGUAAAACCAGCACCUCAAGUGGUCAGGAUGAUUAUUGGGCCUAAAGCAUCCGUAGCCGGCGCUGUAAGUUUUCGGUUAAAUCUGUACGCUCAACGUACAGGCUGCCGGGAAUACUGCAGCGCUAGGGAGUGGGAGAGGUAGACGGUACUCGGUAGGAAGGGGUAAAAUCCUUUGAUCUAUUGAUGACCACCUGUGGCGAAGGCGGUCUACCAGAACACGUCCGACGGUGAGGGAUGAAAGCUGGGGGAGCAAACCGGAUUAGAUACCCGGGUAGUCCCAGCUGUAAACUAUGCAAACUCAGUGAUGCAUUGGCUUGUGGCCAAUGCAGUGCUGCAGGGAAGCCGUUAAGUUUGCCGCCUGGGAAGUACGUACGCAAGUAUGAAACUUAAAGGAAUUGGCGGGGGAGCACCACAAGGGGUGAAGCCUGCGGUUCAAUUGGAGUCAACGCCGGAAA